ACAGGCUGCUUUGCAGUUAAAGGUGUUUGCUGAGUCAUUUCUCUUCCACAGGUUUCUGGGGCCUUGUCAACAAUGCAGGAAUAUCAACAUUUGGUGAGACAGGCUGGCUGCCUAUGGAGACAUAUGAAAAAUUUGCAGAUGUGAAUCUCCUUGGGAGCAUCAGGACAACCCUGGCAUUUCUUCCCCUUCUAAGGAAAUACAAGGGAGAGGAGGAAUGACCCUACAGAGGUGAACUAGAGACACCCAGCUUCCAGUUCCAGCUCUGCGGAGCCUCUGUGACCUUGGGCAGGAAACUUCAAGACGUAUUGUUUUCAUGUCCAGCAUCAUUGCCUAUUUUACUCUGGGAAAUGGCAUUUAUUCUAUGACCAAAGCAGCUAUUGAAAAAUUUUGUGAUGCUUUAAGACUGGAAAUGAAGAAGUUUGGUGUCCAGGUCUCUAUUAUCCAGCCAGGAAAUUAUGCACGCUCUACAAAAAUUCAGCCACCGCUCAGUGCCGAAGAGAUCUGGAGUGAGCUGAGCGAAGAGGAAAAGGCUGUUUACAACAAGGAGUACGUUCAAGAGCGGGCUAACUUUUUCAACAGCAUCCUUAGUGAGGGAAGCACUAAUGGCAAUGAGGUGGUCGACGCCAUGGUGGAUGCUCUAACAUCUCCUGCGCCCAAGGCACGGUACAUGGUGGCGAAGCUGAAGGAGAAGGCCCUGGUGUUGGUGUGUGCUUUGUUCCCGACUGCUGUGAUGGAUUCUGUUCUGUCUUAUGCUCUGAGCAAGGUAAAGCUUGCAUAGCCUGCAGUGGUGCUGCUCCCUGACUCAGGUGAGGCAGUUUAUCAAAUGUGAAAGGCAGAGCUGGACUGAAUGCUCCCGUGUGUCAGUACAGUGACUCCGAUUAACCAGUACAAACUCUGGGGAGUCUCCCUAGUCAGAACUGUCACUGACUGCUACAGAAAAACAUACAGGACCUGUGUAAAAUUAAAGCAUUUGUUUAAGUAACUUUAUCUCUUCCCUGUGGAAAAAUCCCAUCCACAUAAGCCACUUUAGUUAUUGCCUGGAAAAUUUAAUGCAUCAUUUUCUAAAGCAAUAGCAGGUUAUUGUGUUACAGCCAUGAUGCAGACAAAAUGGAGUGCAUCCACAGCGCAGCUGUACACCUGAAGUCAUUACAGCAGAGAGCAAAAGCCCUUGCUGGUAGUAACCUGAGUAGCCAUAUAUUCAGGGUGAUAGGAAGAGGUUAAUGGAAAAGUCAUAGAAAUGAGCACUGGACCUCAAAUACUUUGAAUGGAGUUAAAUGGCUGUAGCAAGUUAGGAAGUCUUGAAGCUCUGAGCAGUCUGGUUUAGUGAAAGGUGUUCCUGCCCACAAUAGGGGGGCUGGAAUUUUAUGACCUCUAAGAUCCCUUCCAACCCAAACCAUUCUGUGAUUCUAUGAACAAUAAAGUUGUAAUAUGAAAACAC